rnacentral:rRNA from 1 species
UACACACCGCCCGUCAAGCCACCUGAGUUGGGAGCACCCAAAAUCGGCGAUCUAACCCGCAAGGGAGGAAGCUGCUUAAGGUGAGACCAGUAAGGAGGGCU